rnacentral:rRNA from 2 species
UAGGGAAUCUUCGGCAAUGGACGAAAGUCUGACCGAGCAACGCCGCGUGAGUGAAGAAGGUUUUCGGAUCGUAAAACUCUGUUGUUAGAGAAGAACAAGGACGUUAGUAACUGAACGUCCCCUGACGGUAUCUAACCAGAAAGCCACGGCUAACUACGUGCCAGCAGCCGCGGUAAUACGUAGGUGGCAAGCGUUGUCCGGAUUUAUUGGGCGUAAAGCGAGCGCAGGCGGUUUCUUAAGUCUGAUGUGAAAGCCCCCGGCUCAACCGGGGAGGGUCAUUGGAAACUGGGAGACUUGAGUGCAGAAGAGGAGAGUGGAAUUCCAUGUGUAGCGGUGAAAUGCGUAGAUAUAUGGAGGAACACCAGUGGCGAAGGCGGCUCUCUGGUCUGUAACUGACGCUGAGGCUCGAGAGCGUGGGGAGCAAACAGG